rnacentral:lncRNA from 1 species
UUCGCAGGACCACUGAUUUGUCGCCUUGAAGGCUGGAUUUCUGCAGUAAGGUAGCAUCUUUACAAGUCAUGUUAACACGUCCUUUCAGUCAACAUUAUUCCUUACCACUUUUUUCUUCGCAGGACCACUGAUUCAUCACACUGAAGGGUGGACUUCUGCCGGUGAGGUGAUGUGUCUGCAACUCAUCGUAGUACAUCCUAUCAGUGAAGAUGGGUGCAGUACUGCUGUGUGACUUUAGAAGCCUGGAUGUGCCUCGAAGAAAUGCUGAAGGACUCGGUGGCCUCUGCAGUUCAGCCAGAUGAAGAGCACCUUGAAGCAUCUGCACAUCGUGGCCUCUGCCUGUCAGCGUGGUGUACAGUAAUUGUUUUAGUGUUCUCUCUCAGACCGCACCAACAGUCUAUUGCAGAUGUGGAGGUACUGUAAAACCUUGUGAAACUGUAGGUAUUUAACUUGUGUGUUUCUGGUGUUUUUUUAAAUGCAGAACUUGUUUUGAAAUGUCAGAGGACUUGUUUCAGGUUUGGCCGAACACUCAAGUAGUGUUUUGCUCUGUCUCCGGAACCCCGAUGGACAGGAUUUCAAAUGACUCUCUGGGUUGGAAAUCUCACCAAGACUUUGGCUCCGGAUGGAACCGCGUGCACCAACGUGCCCUGACUGUUUGACUGACUGAGGGUGUGGGUGGUCUUGUGUUGUGCAAUAUAGGGUCAAGAUCGUGGAUGUUGUAGCUUAGAUCCUAGAAUGCCGGCAUGUUGUUAGUUGGAGUUGAGCUUGUGUGGAUUAGUUGAUUAGU